AUAUAUAUAUAAAUUGCCACAUAGAUAAUGAAUAAAUUUUUAACAUGAUUAUAGAAAAAUUGAAUCUUUAUAACAAACAGUUUAGAGAAAAACAUUUAAGAUUCUAAAAAGGAUUAAUUGCCGGAAAAAAGAAAAAGACGGCAAAAAAAGGGAGAAAUGUGAUAAAUUUCUUCAGAUGUUGGGUGCGUUCAAUUGGAGCUUAAAAUUAGAAACCAAAUAAAGAAAUUGAAAAGGUCAAAAAAUAAACAGCAAUUUGCACCACCAAAAGAAAAGAAAUUGAGAGGCGACAACAAAUAUUAUCUGCAUGUGAUCUAUGACUAUGAGUAAGCUUUUAGGGACCAUUUAUUUAAAUCUUGUCUUCGUGAUUAUUUUCUGAUCAAGGAUACGUGCACAAGAUAUUGAUUUUAAUCUGGUCUUCAACAAUGUUAAUCUACGCCAUUGCAAAAUGAAACAGGAUCAUGUGAAAAGUGUAUUUGUGCGAAAAUCAAUUACAACAAAUCUGAGUUUUCGAUAACCUUGGUGGUGGACGGAAGGUGGCAAAGAGGAGGAGGAGGGAGAGUUGGCGGAAGAAGAAGCGGCGACGGCGGUGACAGACACACGUGACAUGGGAAUUUUUACCAUCCACGUGUCUUAACUUCCGUGAAUCCAUCCAUGACAGGUCCGUCAAACUAUAUUCUACUCCGGUGAAGGCACUAAUUCCGGAUGGGUCGUCAAACUGGGAGAAAAAGAAGCUAUUCUUAGCUAAACGUUAUGGCUCUCGACUGUACUCUCCUCUCCUCUCCACAGAAAUAAUGAAAAACAGCGAGAAAAUGAAAAAAGAGAGUGAAUGUAAACCAACCAAACAUCCACCCUACAGAAUUGAAUGUCCAUCCAAUUAUUUUAGAUGUAAGUGGAUAUUGGAUUCGACAACGACUACUUUUUCUUAACAAAGUUAAACUUGUCGAGAGUCGGUCCAAUGCUAAAAAUUGAUGUAGAAUUUUUUUUUUAAUAAAAUAGAGUACUUUGCACAUAUGGCGGCUAUAAUAGAACCCCAACCUUGAUAUUGUUUCACAUUUUGUACGAAUCUAGAAGCUCGCAUAUUAAAAUUUAAGUUAAAAUCAAUAAUUCAUUUUAAUUACAUAUUUUAUGAAUCCCACAAUUAUUUAACUACAUAUUUCAUCAAUUUUUAUCAAAAUUCAUUAAAAUUUUGAUUUUAAUCGUCACCAAAUAGGGUUUUAUCUUAUCUUAAUGAUCGAACCAAUUUCUAGUAUUAUUGAGCAUACAUUUGAAUAAAUUCAAGGAAAUUUGACUAGUACUUAGAGUUCAACUUGAAAUGAAGUUUAGGAAUUUGUACUGAGUUUUGUCUGAUGUACAGAAUCCUCACAUACUUGAGAAAGUGGGGUGGACGUGGGGGUGGGGGUGGGUGAUUAUUUUUUGGGCCCCCACCAAAAUAAAUAAUCACCCACCCCCACCCAUACAUUGUGAGUAUUCUGUACAACAAGUAGUUCUCAUUUGUACUUGAUUGCAAAUUUAUUAAAUUGAAAUAAUCAUCCACCCUCCACCCAUGCAUUGUGAGUAUUCUGUACAGCAAGCAAUGCUCAUUUGUACUUGAUUACAAAUUUAUUAAAUUGCUUAAUUUGGAAAUUGAAAUGAUUAGAGAGUCCAUUGAAUAUUGAUAUAAUUGAAAAACCUAUUAUAGUUAGCCCUCUCUAUGGUCAUUAUUGAUAAAAAUAAAGUUUUGAAUAAUAAAUUUUUGAAGAAUGUGAUUAAAAAAUUUGAAUUUAUGUGCAAAAUAUUUUAUUUUGCAAAUGUAUAAUUAAAAAUAAUUAUGUAGUAUAAAAUUUUUUAGAAUAAUGAUCGUCAAAUAGGAAUCUUUAGCAUUUCAUUAUAUUUAAAAAAAUAAUUUCCAAUAAUAUAAUCAAUUUAAUAUUCUUUUGAUAGAAAUAAAAAUCAAAUUUUUAGUAAUUUUUUAUUAAAGUUAAUGAAAUUUAUGAUUAAAAAAUUAUGAAUCACAUAAAAUAUGUUAUUAAAUUAAUUGUUAACUUUGAUUCCAAUUAAAGUCUAAAUUUUACUUAAAAUGUUUCGCAUCCAACUUCAUGAUUUUUUUUUCUAUAUUAAUUAAUCGUACAAUAUUUUAUAAUAAAAGGUUGACUAAACUGUUAAUUUAAGGAAAUACACUUUAUUAAUAUUUAUGAAUAUGACAUGAAGGUGCUUCACGGGGAAAUAGUUCGUGUUGACAAAUGCAGCACAGAAUUUGCGUAUAAGCAGCUUUGGUAGCCACACACUCUUCCUGAGUGCUGGCCCCAUCUCCAUUUUUCUCAGUCUGUUGCGGCCCCCCUUCAACUAGAAAAAAUAAAAUAUAUGAAGUUGUCAUUUGUCUUAUAUGGUCCCAUUAGGUUCUAAUUUUUUAUCCCACAAAAUUAAUUUUUUGACCGUUACUUAGUAUGGUCAAUCAUUAUUUUUGACUUCUUCACUCACAUAUAGGAUCUACUUUUCUCUCUAACGAUUAAAAAAUUAAUUCUCAUAAUUACUACAGAACAUGCAUAGUAUAUCUGGCCCUUUUUCCUUUUUCUAAUUGUUCUCUAAGAGCUAAUGCCUAAGCAUCAUAAUCUAUUCACCGCAUUAAACCAGCAAUUUCACACAGCAAAAAGAUCAUAACAUUAUAAAUAAUUCCAUAUAACCAACUCACACUACUUUCUUAAUACGGUAUGCUGUCUACCAAAAAUACUACCCAACCAAAUAAUAAUAAUGAUAAUACAAUUCAAGUGCAGAAAAUGACUAAUGCAAUACGAGAUAUCGGCACUUCUACAAUUCAUUACAUAUACCUUCCAAGACUGUGAUGCAGAGCUUACUCGCUUUCGUCUGCAUGUAAAAGCAAAAAUAUUGUUAAACUGCAAGCACUCCUAUUUAUGUUCAAACAAGAUUCAUCACAGGCAUAAACAAAGUAGUUCAGGUUAGAAUGUGCCCAUUUACUCUUCUAUAAGGCCAUUUAUGUUAAGGUUGUACUCUAUUUUCUUCUCAUUUGAAGUGCGACAAUUUUGAAAUGUCAUAAUGUAUAGACAGUUUUGCCAAGUCUUGCUAAUCUAACUUGAUUUAGUGACAUUUCUCAACUUUCCAAUUACAACAGAAUAUUUUUUAUCUUGGCAUUAAGCAUAACAUUUCUACAUAAACUUGUAUGCAGCAAUUUAGAGGGUUGGAGUUGAAUCAAUGUUACAAACACAAUUAAAAAGCAGGCUGGCAACUACCCAGCACCACAAUCCUCAUGACAAUAUUUCAUUUUACAUGUAUAUACCAUCUAAAAACUCGUAAGAGGGGAAAGAGAGUUGGCAUGAAGAACCUCAAAAGAUGUAUACCUUCGUUGACUUCUUCACUACUAUCAUCAUCAUCAUCACCAUCACCAUCACCAUCACCAUCUUCUUCUUCUUCUUCUUCUUCUUCUUCUUCUUCUUCUUCUUCUUCUUCUUCUUCUUCUUCUUCUUCUUCUUCUUCUUCUUCUUCUUCUUCUUCUUCUUCUUCUUCUUCUUCUUCUUCUUCUUCUUCUUCUUCUUCUUCUUCUUCUUCUUCUUCUUCUUCUUCUUCUUCUUCUUCUUCUUCUUCUUCUUCUUCUUCUUCUUCUUCUUCUUCUUCUUCUUCUUCUUCUUCUUCUUCUUCUUCUUCUUCUUCUUCUUCUUCUUCUUCUUCAUGUCCUUCUUCUUCAACCUUUUCAUCAUCUUCUUCUUCUACUUUAUCUUCCUCUUCAUCACCAUCAAUGCCAUCUUUGUACUUGUUAUCCUUGUGUUCACUAGCUUUGACAUCAUCCUUAUCACCUUUAGUUUCUACUCUAGAUUUAGGAGCCAUAAAAUUGCUUGUUGACCUUCUGCGUGAACUUGAAAUGAUGUUGCUCAUGUCAAUGCCUUCAAGUUCUUUUGCUCUUUCUUUUCUCUUUCUACAGUCUUUAAUUUCUGAGAAAUGGAUUCAAAUAAUUAAGAGUCAGAUAUAUAGGGGGAUGUCUGUGCAUGGUGGUGGCAAAUCUUGGUCGGGGGUCGGCGUGAGGUUGGGAGGUGUGAAUAGUGGGAUGCAUGGAGAACAUUUUAUUGUGAGAGCAUGCAAUAUAUGCAGAAUCCAAACAGUAGAAUGGAUUCUGUUUCACCGUUUAUCAAUGCCUCGAAUAGUGUCUUAACCAACCAAAAUUAUUUUCAAUUUUCAAGCACAAUUUUGGUUUUCCAUUCAAAAGCCAAUUUCUCUACAAGUGCACAGUGACAAUUUUUGCAACUAAAAUAAUGUACUACUGGAGACUAGAAGGUGGUCUAGGCAAAGACAAGCACAGUACUCUAUAGUUGUGUCUGGCAUAUGUAACAGAAGAAGAGUACAGUCCACAUAGGUUCCAAGUCUGGAUCCAAAUGAGUACUGACAGAUACCGGCUCUCAAACAACAUAGUCAAGCACAAAUGCCAGGAUAGGAGAGCUCAGAUCUGCUACCCCUUCCCUCCCUCCAUUGCUUUCCACCAUCUUGUCCCCAACCACCAAGAGUCGAAGUGACACAUGCACACACCGACUGAUGCCAGAUAGAGCUGACAGGAACCAGCACAAGGAAAAUGAGAGAAAGGACCGCCCUUUCUUUGGGUCAACCAGCACUUGGGUGCCGAUUCCACUACUUUUGGCCAACAGAGUUCCCAAACUAGUAUUUAGCUACCAUCCAUGUCCUUCAUUUGUUUUUCUUUUCCAUUUUAAGGCAAAUGUUAAAUCCUCUAAAAAUGUAUGUUUUGUAUGUUUGGCAAAACUUAAAUUAUAAAUUAAGGACGUCAAAACACUAUUUAGCCACACGUUCUAUGGACCCACAACUUGCUAUUCAUUUUUUACUUACACAUUCUAUGAGAUCCGCAGCUUAAGUUUUGACUUAAGCACUCUCAAAUGAGCACUUAACAUAUAGAAAAAAAAUUAAAAAUAGAAGGAAAAUAUAUAUAUAUAUAUAUAUCCAAGCCCCAGCCAACCCCCUCCUUUCAACCAUCCAGCCGGUGAUGGUUCUUGGAGAUAUGAGCAUAUAGAUGUGGUUUUAAGUUAAGUGAAGCUAUUUACAGAUCUCUAUUUAAUACAUGCUUGAAUGGAUUUCAUCAUUGGCCUACAGAGUACUUAAUGAGUCUGUAAUCAUUGACCUUCACAUGAACAUUGAAGCAUUGCAAGCACCAAGCAAUACUAGUGCCACAUCGGUGUUAGAUCCAAGGGUCAUGGGAAGUACCGAGUUGGGUAAGGGAGUUAUCAGGUGUAAGAGGGAAUAAGAAAGCAGGUUACCAGGAGUAUCAACAAUAUAUUUUAUGACAUGUUAUCCAUAAAUAAGUGUAAUAUCGGAAUCUUACAGUUACCUUUCUCAGUAGGAUUGCUAGAUAGCCCUUCUCUUUUGAGAAUCCCUUCCAACUCCUUCACUAAAAAGGCUUCUCGUUUGCUGUCAGGUACUUGCUUGGCUUUCUUGUAAACUGUAGGAGCGACGCUGUUCGUUUUCAAUUGAGAAAAUGAGAUACCAUCAUAACAGGUUGAUAAUGAUGACUUAAACACUACCAUCCACACACACCAACCUCAUUCCACAUGAUUUAAUUACAGAUCUCAGAUGGUCGACUUGUUUUCCAUAUCCAGGGGUCGGUUGUUCUUUCCUCUGCAUAUGAAAAUCAAUUAUUUAAGACUCUGUGGAUCAUGCAUGAGCCCGCACAUUGGAAAAAAAAUCCAGCCAUAGAAAAAUGAAAGACUAACCUUCGCAGGUUUCCCUACAGAUGAUUCAGAUUGACCAUCUUCAGAUACACCUCCAUCAUUAGCUGAAUCAAUAUCUUCUUCUUUCGGCCUCUUUGCACGCGUGCUUUGGUUCUUGCCAGGGACAUUGAGAUCACUGUAUUUGUUAGACCUUUUACGUUUCUUCAGCUCAUCCGAUUUCUCAUCCUUUGCCCUUGUAGCAGCCUUCUUCCUUGAUUGUACUAUGUCUUUUCCUUUGUCACUUUCCUUAUCUGAAGAAUCAGAACCUGUCUCACUGCUGAUCUUUUUUGAUGCUUUACUUUGAGAGUUCUCAGAGCUUUUCCUCUUAAUGUGAUUAGCAUUUUUAGAAACACUGUUUAAAUUUAGCACCUAGACAACACCGUAACUUGAUGAGUAUGGUAAUUAAAUUCAUUCAUCCACAAGUUCAAAUAUUUUCAGAAUAUUUUUCCCACCUGAUCUAUUUGCUCACUUAUUAACUUCUUAAAAGGAUCGAGAGUAUUUUUAUCAAGUCCAAGAUCUUCCUCCAACAGUCUGCGAACUCCAGCCAAAGUUAUCUUCCUGAAAAGUACACUAGUGAGAGCAUUGAUUUUUAAUUGACAAAUAAGGAAAAACAGAAACAGUACAUGCAUUGACAGAGCCUAUCAAAUUGUUGACAAAAUUGUAAACAACAGCAUCUGGCUGAAGCUUCCCUCCUUUUUAGCAUUAUUGUGCUAAUAGGAUUUGGUCCCAACUUCUCCUUUUCAUUUUACAAAGAAAGAAAAAUACCAUACGUUCCUAACGAAUAUGGAUUUUCAGCUUCUUCGUUUCCUUUUCUUUUUCGUUUUGGGAAAUUCACUUACUCUUGCAAUGACCUAAAAAUAUAUAUAUAAAUUGCCACAUAGAUAAUGAAUAAAUUUUUAACAUGAUUAUAGAAAAAUUGAAUCUUUAUAACAAACAGUUUAGAGAAAAACAUUUAAGAUUCUAAAAAGGAUUAAUUGCCGGAAAAAAGAAAAAGACGGCAAAAAAAGGGAGAAAUGUGAUAAAUUUCUUCAGAUGUUGGGUGCGUUCAAUUGGAGCUUAAAAUUAGAAACCAAAUAAAGAAAUUGAAAAGGUCAAAAAAUAAACAGCAAUUUGCACCACCAAAAGAAAAGAAAUUGAGAGGCGACAACAAAUAUUAUCUGCAUGUGAUCUAUGACUAUGAGUAAGCUUUUAGGGACCAUUUAUUUAAAUCUUGUCUUCGUGAUUAUUUUCUGAUCAAGGAUACGUGCACAAGAUAUUGAUUUUAAUCUGGUCUUCAACAAUGUUAAUCUACGCCAUUGCAAAAUGAAACAGGAUCAUGUGAAAAGUGUAUUUGUGCGAAAAUCAAUUACAACAAAUCUGAGUUUUCGAUAACCUUGGUGGUGGACGGAAGGUGGCAAAGAGGAGGAGGAGGGAGAGUUGGCGGAAGAAGAAGCGGCGACGGCGGUGACAGACACACGUGACAUGGGAAUUUUUACCAUCCACGUGUCUUAACUUCCGUGAAUCCAUCCAUGACAGGUCCGUCAAACUAUAUUCUACUCCGGUGAAGGCACUAAUUCCGGAUGGGUCGUCAAACUGGGAGAAAAAGAAGCUAUUCUUAGCUAAACGUUAUGGCUCUCGACUGUACUCUCCUCUCGUCUCCACAGAAAUAAUGAAAAACAGCGAGAAAAUGAAAAAAGAGAGUGAAUGUAAACCAACCAAAC
rnacentral:lncRNA from 1 species